rnacentral:tRNA from 1 species
AUUUAUAUAGUUUAAAUAAAACAUUAUAUUUUCAUUAUAAAAUUGAAUUUUCUUCUAUAAAUA